AUUGAACGCCGGCGGCAUGCUUUACACAUGCAAGUCGAACGGCAGCACGGGAGCUUGCUCCUGGUGGCGAGUGGCGAACGGGUGAGUAAUGCAUCGGAACGUACCCAGUAGUGGGGGAUAGCCCGGCGAAAGCCGGAUUAAUACCGCAUAUUUCCUGAGGGAGAAAGCGGGGGACCUUCGGGCCUCGCGCUACUGGAGCGGCUGAUGUCGGAUUAGCUAGUUGGUGAGGUAAAGGCUCACCAAGGCGACGAUCCGUAGCUGGUCUGAGAGGAUGAUCAGCCACACUGGGACUGAGACACGGCCCAGACUCCUACGGGAGGCAGCAGUGGGGAAUUUUGGACAAUGGGGGCAACCCUGAUCCAGCCAUGCCGCGUGAGUGAAGAAGGCCUCGGUUGUAAGGACUCUUUCUAGGUGGAAAGGAAAUACAACUACCCCGAACUAACGGGUGGUGGAGUGACGGUACCGAU
rnacentral:rRNA from 1 species